UACGUAGGUGGCAAGCGUUGUCCGGAAUUAUUGGGCGUAAAGCGCGCGCAGGCGGUCCCUUAAGUCUGAUGUGAAAGCCCACGGCUCAACCGUGGAGGGUCAUUGGAAACUGGGGGACUUGAGUACAGAAGAGGAAAGCGGAAUUCCACGUGUAGCGGUGAAAUGCGUAGAGAUGUGGAGGAACACCAGUGGCGAAGGCGGCUUUCUGGUCUGUAACUGACGCUGAGGCGCGAAAAGCGUGGGGGAGCAAAACAGG
rnacentral:rRNA from 1 species